rnacentral:sRNA from 1 species
AAGUACUACGACGACAAAGAA